AGAAACACUCUGCUACAGAACAAGUGUCUUGGUUCACAGCAAAGAGGACAAAGAAAACAGCAAGUUUUAGGGGGUUGAAUCCUGGAUUCCCCUGGCAAACACCAUUCUACUUUCCGUCUCUAUGAAUUUGACUACUCGAAGUACCUCAUAUCAUUUGCUCCAGAAGAAGCUGGUUGCCAUGUCUUGAGGACAGUAAACCCUCUGGGGAGGUUCCUGUGGUAAGGAACAAGGGCUCCUGGCAAUAGCCUCUGAGUGAGCCACCUUGAAAAUGGAUUGUCCAGCCCCAGUCAAGCUUUCAGAUGACUGUAGCUCCUGCCAAUGUCUUCACCACAACCUCAUGAGAUCCCAAGCUACAACCACUCAGAACUUCAUCUUUUGGGAAGCACCAGGGAGAGCUGCCUGUGCCUGGCAGAAGCUGCCCAUGCCCCACUGAUACCCCACAGUACUUCCUGUUCUGCUUAGUACUCCUGCUUCUUUCUACAAACAACUGUGAUUCUCUACCUGGGAGCUUCCUCUGGCCACAGGAGCCUGCUCACCUGAUUGGGACACCCUAGCAGUACUGGCUCAUAGAUGGAAGGGACUUGCCUUGUCGCUGAUGAGACUUUCGACUUGGACUUUUGAGUCAAUGCUGGAAUGAGUUAAGACUUUGGGGAACUGUUGGAAGGGUGUGAUUGUGUUUUGAAUUGUGAGGACAUGAGAUUUUGAAGAGGCUAAUGGCAGCGUCCCCACCUAAAUCUCUUCUUGAAUUGUAGUUCCCAUAAUCCCCACGUGUCGUGGGGUGGAGCCGGUGGAGAUAAUUGAAUCAUGGGAACACUUUCCCCCAUGCUGUUAUUGUGAUUGUGAAUUCUCACGAGAUCUGAUGGUUGUAUAAACGCCUUCCCUCUUCGCUGGGCACUCAUUUUUCUCCUUCCUGCCACCAUGUGAAGAAGGAUAUGCUUGCUUCUUGUGCCAUGAUUACAAGAACACACUCAGAAAUUUUCUCAACACAGUUUCUAUGCAGAGAAGAGAUGUGGGACAGAUUUGAACUGCUGUCAUAUUUGUAUGAACCCAAGACAUUUUCCAAGACCAAGAGGGAUAAAGACAGCAAUUUCUAUGACUGGCAUUUUACGUGCAUGCACUGUUUCCAAGUGUUCUUGUGUUCUGUGCCUUAAACAUUCUGUGUUGCAACUUUAUGAAUUGAAUUAAAGAUAAUCCCAAGCCCCCAAUUGUCUCAAAAAGUGAAAAAGUAAAUGUUAUAGAAAGAAAAGCGGGAAAAACUUUAAGCAUGAAAUAAAAGAUGGGUUGUGAUAAAAGAGGACUGAAGAAGGAAAAGGAAUGAAAGGUUCUGCCAUCCUUCAUGGCAGCCCACUCCACUUGGUAUGAGAUACUGCUCCCUUGGCUGAAAGUUAACUGCUGUACUCCCUCCACUUUCUAUAAAUGACUCCCUGUGCCUUUCCUUCACCACACAACUCACACUCUCUUCCUUCCUAGUGAGUCCACUAAGGCUUCACUGCAUUAUUACAUUUAUUUCAUUUAGGAAAAACUGACUUUAUUUUCCUUCAAAUUGUUUUUUAUUGUUUAUAUGAGCUUGGUUUUAUUGUCAUUCUAUUUUUCUCCAUGAAAAUAGAGAAAAAUAGGGUCGAAAGGUUAGGUUGGGUGGAAAGGAAUUAUAUUUUUUCUCACUAAAAUUGAUGUAAAUAUCGUUUUCAAUUGAAUGAUUUUACACAGUGGCACAGUUUCAGGUAUGUUGCUAAGCAGGAAAGUUGUUAACCAAAGCAUGAAUGUAUUAAGGAGAUGUAUGCAGAAUGACAUGCAAGGUUAUCUAUGAUUGCUGAGUGAGAAAGAGCAAGUUGCUGAGUAUUAUAUAAGUAUGAUCUCACUUUUGUAAAAAAAAAAAAAAAAAAAGGCCUGGACUGAUCUGAAAUGACCCUAUUAAUAACAAUUAUGUCCAGGUCUGUAUUGCAUACUUGUCAUUCAUUACAGGAUCUUGAGACACAAUGCAAAGGAUCACAUCGCAGCUCUGUAACUUGUUAACUAUAAGAUUUUGAGUAACAUAACACCUUACUCCUUAAAAUUGCUUAAAAAAAAUCUGAACAUCAGGAAUAUUCUACUUCACAGGGUCGUUGUGAUAAUUAAAUGUAGUAAUCAAUGACAAUAGUGCCAGAUACAGUAGAUAGCCUACACUUUGCAGCUACUAUUUCUAUCUAUCAUCCAUCUAUUAAUAUAUAUCAUCUAUCUUUAACUUAUCAUCUAUCUUGUUCCAGUUUUUUAAAAUGAACAUGUAUUAACUUUGUAAAAAAUUAAGGCUAUAAGAUGUGCUGAGCUUUUGGAAUAGAUUUUCCUGUAC
rnacentral:lncRNA from 1 species